UUUUUUUUUCGAUUUGUUUUCUUAUUAUUUAUAGAGAAAAUACAUCGUAGCAAGAGCUCUCAAAGAUAACGUAGCAAUAUCGCGAUUGUUAAAGGAAGAAAUUUUCAAUGUGCAGACUGUUUAUGUCAACAAGAGUUCUUUGAUUAUACAUAAAAAUUAGAAAUCUAAUCAAUCAACUAGAUUACACUAUUCACAUUGUUUUUAUCGUUCUAAGGAAUGAUCUUCGUUCGACACGAAAGAUUUACUCGAAAAUCUUUGAUUUGUGUGAUCAGUCUUGGACUUCAUGGUGUGGUGUCUAGCAGUAUAUCCCGGUUAUAGAAGUAUUACCUCAGAUAUUACGAAAUGUUCCAUGAACUGAUGAGAACGGCACCUUGGAAUUACAGGCAAAGAAAUUGUCAAUGUCCAAACUGUUCGAGCGCAUAUCUUAAUUUAUGUAAAUCUUAAUGUCGAUUCAUUAUCAACGUACAAUUUAUUUAUUUAUUUAUUUAUUUAUUUAUUUAUUUAUUUAUUUAUUUAUUUAUUUAUUUAUUUAUUUUUUCUUAUCAGUUCCUGAGACCAUUAGACUACACCCAAUUUUAAUUUCUUUUUCUCUUUUUCUUUCUAAAUUAUCCUGUUGUCUUAAAAAAUUCUUUAUAAAAAAUCAUUCAAUUAAUUUAUAUUCCAAUGUAAAUAAGAAUGCAUUAAUAAUUGGAUUACCAAAAAUAUCUCAAGAUUAUUAUAUAUAAUUGGAUUUAUUUGUAGUACAAAAAAAAAAAAAAAAGAAAAAAAAAGAAAAAAAGAAUUCCUCGAGAUUGCUGUCUCAUUGUUUCCUAAUAAAUGAUAGAACUCUGUUGUGAAUAAAAAAAAUAAAUAUCUGUAAUGAUAGAAACAGCAACGAAUAAAUGUACCUGUUCUAUGUAUAAAUAUG